rnacentral:rRNA from 1 species
UACGAAGGGGGCUAGCGUUGCUCGGAAUUACUGGGCGUAAAGCGUGCGCAGGCGGUGAUGUAAGACAGUUGUGAAAUCCCCGGGCUCAACCUGGGAACUGCAUCUGUGACUGCAUUGCUGGAGUGCGGCAGAGGGGGAUGGAAUUCCGCGUGUAGCAGUGAAAUGCGUAGAUAUGCGGAGGAACACCGAUGGCGAAGGCAAUCCCCUGGGCCUGCACUGACGCUCAUGCACGAAAGCGUGGGGAGCAAACAGG